GGUUUAAAGGGUCCGCAGGCGGAAUAUUAAGUCAGUGGUGAAAGCCUACAGCUCAACUGUAGAACUGCCAUUGAAACUGUUAUUCUUGAGUAUGGAUGAAGUGGGCGGAAUAUGUCAUGUAGCGGUGAAAUGCAUAGAUAUGACAUGGAACACCAAUUGCGAAGGCAGCUCACUAAACCAUUACUGACGCUCAUGGACGAAAGCGUGGGGAGCGAACAGGAUUAGAUACCCUGGUAGUCCACGCCGUAAACGAUGAUCACUAGAUGUUGGCGAUAUAAUGUCAGCGUUCAAGAGAAAUCGAUAAGUGAUCCACCUGGGGAGUACGUUCGCAAGAAUGAAACUCAAAGGAAUUGACGGGGGCCCGCACAAGCGGAGGAGCAUGUGGUUUAAUUCGAUGAUACGCGAGGAACCUUACCAAGGCUUAAAUGUAAUAUGACCGGUUGAGAGAUCAACCUUUUUUCGAACAGAUUACAAGGUGCUGCAUGGUU
rnacentral:rRNA from 1 species